rnacentral:misc_RNA from 1 species
CUCGUCCGCUGACGACGAGCUGCUGCUGUCCUGGUUCGGCCUGAACAGCUUAGGACCGCGCCUGCGCCGGCUGCGCACGCCCGCAAGCCCGCCCUUUGACUUCCCCACCUCGUCAUCGCCAACUCCCGCCGCCCUCUUUGCCUCUUCGUCCGCCAACUCGUUCCCCGGCACCUCAAGAUGGCCGGCGAGCCACUGCAGGCUCGUCCUCUCCCCCACCGAACCGCACAACCGCCGAUGCGCCAGCUCGAGUCUCGAGCAGCGAGCCGUCCGAGUACGCCGCCAGGCUGCCCACCGCGUCGAGGUCGCGGACUUCUCGACCGUGCGACUUGACCAACGCCUCCUUUGACACGUCGACAACCAGCCGGCAACGUGGCGGGCUCGACCAAGGCGCGAGAGCGCACCACGUCAGGCGCGGCAGCACCACCGCCUCGACCAGCCGUCGCACAAACUUCGCCUUCAAUCCGCCUCAACUCUUCGCCAGCAGCCCGACACCUACGAGCGCCUUUGACGCCUUCGACGCGCACGAUGCCAUGUGCUCCUUGAAGAGCACGACCUUCGGGUCGUCGGGUGAGUGGUCUCGUGCAGGCGAGAAGCGCGUGACGAAGGUCUUGGAGGGCUCGAAUAGGCUGUGGCGAGGACAUUCAAGUCGUCCACCCAGCCGAACGCCGUCGAUGUUGAGGUCUUGCACGCCGCGAGUGCGGCGGCGUUGUAGAGGAGGAACAGGAUCGGGCUGAGCGGUGAACCUUGCGGUAAGCCGCUCCUCCAGUCGACGGGUUCGCUGCUGCCGCCUUCCAAACGCAGUGUGCACGUCCGGUUCGACAUGAAGGACUUGGUCCACCGGCGGAGCGAGCGCGACUACCGCGUCUUCGGCAGAUCUACCUGGUCGGGUGCCGAAGUGGUUGGGCGGGAGGAGCUGGAGCGCGUCUGCGAGAUGAGCCGGUACGACUUGGUCCGGCCAUUUGCACUCGGCCACGCCGGCGUCGUCGGCAUCGUCGAGGUCGCCUCGGCUGGCGAGACUGGCGGGAGAUCCUGCGAAGUCCGCUGCGUGUAGAGGACGUUGUAAUGGUUGUAAUAGGCGCGUUGCAUCCGUU